rnacentral:lncRNA from 1 species
GUCCAGAUUUCAACUCUUGGCACCAUGAUCUAACAAUGACCCAGAGACUGUAAUCAGAGUAAUGAAGAUGGGGAUAGUGAAUCCCUACCUAAACACAGACCUUUUGGGAGAAGCAAAACUGGUCCAGAUUUUAAAGGACAGUUGAUGUAUGGAAGAGCAAAAGGAAGAGAAGUGUUCUUAGAGAACCAGCUGAGGAUGAGUGACUGGAACAUUUUCCCUCCAUCUGGGAAGGCUUCCUCAGGGAUCAGCCUAGAAUUCUCAGAGAAAGAUGACUGAAUGAAAAAGUACUCCUUCCUUCACCCCCUGGAGGCAAGAACUCAACUAUAUUUUCACCUACUCCAGCAUCAGUUCUGCCGCAAUGGGCUGGCUGCUUCUAGAAAACCCCAAAACUAGAUAAGAUAGGAAGCUAUGAUUUGUUUCCUACUUGUAUUCUGUAUAUUUGAUAAUGCCAAUCAAAUUCCUGAUGUUAAAGAAGAAACAGAAAUUACGGACUUGCUCUUCUAUGAAACUACCAACUGAGAAAAGGACAAAAGCAGCAACAACCCUUAAAACAAAAACAAAAACAACAAAAAAUCCUAAGACUACCUUUCAAUAAUAGAAUGGAAUGACUUCAUGGUAAAG